GAUGAACGCUGGCGGCGUGCCUAAUACAUGCAAGUCGAGCGAACAGACGAGGAGCUUGCUCCUCUGACGUUAGCGGCGGACGGGUGAGUAACACGUGGAUAACCUACCUAUAAGACUGGGAUAACUUCGGGAAACCGGAGCUAAUACCGGAUAAUAUAUUGAACCGCAUGGUUCAAUAGUGAAAGACGGUUUUGCUGUCACUUAUAGAUGGAUCCGCGCCGCAUUAGCUAGUUGGUAAGGUAACGGCUUACCAAGGCAACGAUGCGUAGCCGACCUGAGAGGGUGAUCGGCCACACUGGAACUGAGAAACGGUCCAGACUCCUACGGGAGGAAGCAGUAGGGAAUCUUACGGAAUGGGGGAAAGCCUAACGGAGCAACGCCGCGUGAGUGAUGAAGGUCUUCGGAUCGUAAAACUCUGUUAUUAGGGAAGAACAAAUGUGUAAGUAACUAUGCACGUCUUGACGGUACCUAAUCAGAAAGCCACGGCUAACUACGUG
rnacentral:rRNA from 1 species